CCAAUUUUUUCACACACGCUUUUUUUUUUCGUCUUUCUCUCUCUUUUUUCUUAUCUCACGAGAUUUGAUCUCUCUUUUUCGAUCUCGCUAGACCUUCAUCAUCGAUCACACCUUUUGGGUCAUUGAUUUUGGGUUAUCGAUCACAACACAGCAACUCAUCUUCCUUACGAAGGUGAGACGGUUGUUAUUAGAUCGAGUCCAAAUGAUGUGGAAGACAUGAUCACACAUCCACCAAAGGAACAUAACAAGAGAAGUGAACGAUGAAGUGGCUCGAUUGGAAUUAGAGACUUUUGUUUGUGUUCUAUUAUCAAACGACCAGAGUUCUUGUUAAUGUGUAGUGGUGGAGACUAGAGAGGCAAUCUUGUUUUUCUUCCUAGACAUUUGAUUUUCCAUUAUUUAAAAUAUUUUGAUGAGUUAUAUUAUAUAACUCGAGAAAAUAAAAUUAUAUAAUUUGCUAAUCUUUGAUUAGCAUUUUUUUAUUAGCAUUUUUAAUUAUUAAAUGUUAGUAAGUUGAUGGUAA